UCCGUAGGUGAACCUGCGGAAGGAUCAUUACUGAGUUCAUGCCCUAACGGGUAGACCUCCACCCUUGAAUACAAACUCUUGUUGCUUUGGCGGGCCGCUUCGGCUACUGGCUUCGGCUGGUGAGUGCCCGCCAGAGAACCCUAAACUUUGAAUUACAGUGUCGUCUGAGUACUAUAUAAUAGUUAAAACUUUCAACAACGGAUCUCUUGGUUCUGGCAUCGAUGAAGAACGCAGCGAAAUGCGAUAAGUAAUGUGAAUUGCAGAAUUCAGUGAAUCAUCGAAUCUUUGAACGCACAUUGCGCCCCUUGGUAUUCCGUAGGGCAUGCCUGUCUGAGCGUCAGCUCGUCUUCUCAAGCUCUUUUGCUUGGAUAACAUUGGAAUUGCAAUACACGCCUCGAUUCGGGGUCUGUCUGCAAUCCAGAAAUAUAUAGGCGGUACGGUUCUAGCAAACCAGACGUAAUAAUAUUCUUAUCUAUCGUUAAUUUGUUCAAACUGUUGCUUGCCUUUUAAUCCACAUCUUAUCCAAGAUGACCUCAGAUCAGGUAGGGGAUACCGGCUGGAACUUAAGGCAUAUCAAUAAGGCGGGAGGGAAGUCGACUGGCCAAGGGGGCACACAGGGGGGGGAUA
rnacentral:rRNA from 1 species